rnacentral:lncRNA from 1 species
CUAUUUUCAAUAGUUUUUCUGGGUCAACCUGUGCUGAGGUUGAUGUUCCAUUGGAAUGGGACUUAAUCUGUGGUUUUAUCACUGAAGCAGGUUGUGCUUUUGCUGAUGUGGUUGAUCUUGUGCUGUUACAUCAUUUUUUGCUUUGUUUUGCUCUCUAGGUAUAUCUCGAUCCUCAUGGAUAUCACUUGACAUGUAAUGCGAAGUAGGCGUUAAAAGGGGAAUAAAUGUGGUGCUAUUUGUUGAUUUUACUUAUUUUUCUUUCAAUUAUAUGGUUUCUCUGUAGCUUUGAAGCUUAGUUUGAUAUAUUUGUCAAAGAGGGGUUUCAAUUAAUUAACUUAUGUUAGUUUGUGGUGCUACUGGUGUUUUGUCUGUAAUUUUAUUUUACUCUUAUCCCUGAUUUUAGUUUGUAUUAAUGCAUGUAAUAUGGGCUAUUAAGAAUUGUUGCAAGUAGCAUGUAAUAUGGAAUGUUAAUAUCGAUGUAGUAGUGGUUACCUAAAGGUCUGUAUGAUAUAGUUACGUUUGUGGUUUGCUG